rnacentral:tRNA from 1 species
GGCAAUUUAGCUUAGCAGUAGAGCACUUGCCUAGUAUGUGCAAGACCCUGGGUUCAAUCCCCAGCACCACCA